rnacentral:rRNA from 1 species
GGAGUUUGGGCCGUGUCUCAGUCCCAAUGUGGCCGGUCGCCCUCUCAGGCCGGCUACUGAUCGUCGCUUUGGUAGGCCGUUACCCUGCCAACUGGCUAAUCAGACGCGGGGCCAUCCCAUUCCACCUCAGUUUUUCACACUGGAGGAUGUCCUCCCGUGCGCUUAUGCGGUAUUAACAGUCGUUUCCAACUGGUAUCCCCCGGAAUGGGGCAGGUUCCCCACGCGUUACUCACCCGUCCGCCACUCGGUCUGCACAUCUUCCAUCCGAAAACUUCCAACGCGCAGCCUCGUUCGACUUGCAUGUGUUAAGCACGCCGCCAGCGUUCAUC